AGGUUAAGUUAACAAGGGCGCAUGGUGAAUGCCUUGGCACUAGGAGCCGA
rnacentral:rRNA from 1 species